ACUCACUGAAGUCGCAAGCUCCCAUCAAUUUCUUACUAGAUGAUAAAAAUAUACCAAACAUCCUUACCGUCUUACUCAUAGUCAAUUCAGUUCAGAGCUGCAGUGCAUCGCAUUAAUUAAUGGCGCAGGUUCUAAUAGUUAUGGAGUAUGCGUUUAGGUGCUUUUUCCAAGCAAGAAAUGAGCAAUCUUAAACUUUCUGCUUACUAUCAUUGGAUAGCUAUAAGAAGCAUGCCUACAAGAGGUUGUAAAACAACUGUUGGACACCCAGAGUGAUGAACCGAACAAGAGGACAGGCUCCAGGCCAGUCACAAUCAGAUGCCGCCAAGUUCAUUCUCAGCGUAAAAGAACGGCACUGGCCAGCCUUACACAACCAGCCAUAAUGUCCUCAACUACACUCCUCUCAACUACACUCCUCUUUGAAGCUGUCAUUGAUAACGCAUUGAAUGAGAUACGCAUUGAAUGAGAUACAGGACAGCAGGGACCCAAAAUGUUUCACAACACUACUUCAGACUAAGGUGAAGAGCUUGUUCUCACAAGUUUCAACUUCAUAUCUUCAGAAAAAGUACUUCAACGAAGUGUUUCACAAAAUUGAGCAUAAACGCCAUCUGGCUAUCUUCAUUCCGAGUCGUUGAAGGCGUUACUCCUAAACACUGAUGUGCGGCAUUCUUCGUGAUUAUUGUGAUGGAGCGCAUUUUAUUAUGAUGAUUUGGAGACUCUUGGCUAAAUUAGGUUAUAAUUAUAGGUGCAUGCUGCGGAAUGUUUACUGGACUCUUCUCAACAUUCAUCCUGCCCAUCGAUCCACUUUGCACUCCUGGCAGUUGCUAGUCCUGAUUCUGUACUUGCGCCAAUGGUGAAAGACUUGAAGACACUUGCUACGGAGGGUAUAUCACUGGUUCUUCCCGAUGGCACUAUGAGACAGUAUUACGGCUGCCUGGUAGCAUUUCUCGCAGAUAACCCACCCAGCAGCAGCAGGGUUUCAAGGAAGGUGGGGGUGGAGCUUUAAAAUGUUGCCGUACUUGCAUGGUUUCAAGCAAUGAUUUGUCAUCAUCUUUGGAUUCCUCUCGUCUGACACUACGAAGGCACAUAGAGAUCACAUAGAGAUCAGUGCAAAGAAUUGGAUCUCACGCCAUAUUGGUCUUUGUGGCUCCUUUAAUACUUGUACACUGAAUCAUUUGUAAGAGGCAGGUCAAACUCCAAAGAAGCUUCGUAAACUGCAAACGCAAUCGAAAACUUGUGUUUGACCAUGAAGUCUCAGGCAACAACCUAUGAAUUAGUACUCAUGAGGUGGUAAAGUCUCAAUACUAAAAUUAAUGUGAAGCUGCAACAUGACAUUUGGAUCAAGCAUACAUUUGGAACAAAUUGAUGUUUAGGUAGAUGUGCACAGUAGAGUUAUUUUGUCAAUGCAGCUGACUGAAUUGAUAAUUGGCACAACUUAUCGUGUGAAAAGUCCGUGCUUUCCAUGCACACACACACAGUUGCGUUCAACUAAGGAACCGCAGUCGAGAUUUGUUGACACUCCGUUUGUGUGAAACUUUCCCCAGAACCAGAUAAUACACAUACUUCAAAGAUAUUAUCAUUUAAGUAUUUAAAUGGAUUACAUACGUGAACCGAUGUGGGCGUGUAUAUGCAGGUAACUAACAUGCAAGGUGAAAAAGUACUAGGUCUCUAAUAACAACCCACGCUAUUCUGUUUCAUGCUGCUGUUCUCCUCUAGCUGCUACAGUAUAAUUAUUGUGUUCAGUGUUUAUGAAAACGACAGUACAUUGAGGUAUAAUGAUAAUAGUUAUGUGCUCAUUGAGAGCUGAUAGAUAUGUGCUCCUAAUUGUUGCAUUUGCGCUAACUUUAAAUGAUGGCCCAUCUCGAAUCUAUCGUGAGUACUGAAGUGCACUUUCCGCCAAUUGUACUUUACACACUGUAGGGUGAAAUGCCAUUAUACUACGUCAUCGCCCUCGGAUGAUCGACUUUCAAUAUUUGUAGUCAAAGCGAUGACAGUUAGAUAUAGCCAGGAGUCAUGUCCAAGCACUACUGAUGCACCUGGUUUCGUUACGUAGAGAAAUCAUAGAUGUCUUUGUACCAGGGCAUGAGGGUCUCUGGUACCUCCUCAACUUUGUAACCCUUAGCCAUCUGAUUGACUGACUGCUUUCUCUGACCAGUAAGAUGAGGGGUCAUAGUGUAGCGUUCAGUUUUCAUAUUGUCAGGACCUCCUUGCCAGUAAUUAAUACACAAAAAAAUGAAUAUGUAAGGUACUCUGGUGUAUAUAUAUACACAGUACAUGAGCUUCAGCUAUCAUUUAACUUUCACGGUGACCCUUUCCCCGUUUUCAAUUUAAAAAAUUUCCUACAGGUAGUAUAUUGCAUGGUGUUAGUACGCAUGCGUUAGUUUAUUCACCAAGAAUCUGUGGUGAAUCUGGGGAAUCUGAUUAUACUCUCAUAUCUUUGUACAUCAGCUCAAGUUACCUCGAAUUAGGGUGUGGUGUAAUCGAGGCUGUGUAUCAAAGAGGCGGUCUUGGUAUUUUUGUACCUUAGGGGGCAUUCAUUAGGGGGGGCUCUGAUUAUCUUGUCCCGCCCCGCAUGCCCUCAACCACAAUCUUCAUACUGCUGAUCUAUACUACUACAUCAAGAUGAUUCAACAUGAGAUUUCCAAAAAACUAAUUAGUGUAAAGUACAAUCAUCAUCAUCAACAUAAUUAUGCAGACACGAUUCAAAGAUUGUUUUACAGCAGUCACUGUUAUUGUAAGGACAACUGAGCACUAGGCUGCAGACUAAAAAUGAAGCUCAAACUCCUGCACUACACUCAAUAUGGCACUACACUCAGUAUGGCUGUUGAAGGCCAAUGUUGAAGGCCAAAAAAGGGUAUCAAAAGAAGCGGAGCACUACAAUAUAUCCACCUGAAUCCGAUUACAGUACCGAUUACAGUACUUCAUAAACCGGUGUAUCCAGUCCCUUGGAUGUAGGCACCAUAAUUAUGUCAAUGUCAAUGCAAGCUAUAUAUGUAGUGUCACUUACUGCAUGUGUCAGGUUGCCAGGGAGUUACUAGUAGGUUUAAAGAGUGUUAUCUGUAAGUUGGUGUUUGAAAAUGAGCAAGAUGCUGAAUACCAACAACCGAAAAUGAAAGCAGUGCUUAAGAUCUAGCACUUAAAUUUUGUUGAAAGAAUGAUUUGCUGAAUUUGAUACUCGCCAUUCAGAAAGAAACACGUCCCAUGCGUGACAAGCUUCUGGAGGGUCUGAGGUGCCAAUUAACUUGCAAAAUCCAGGUAUAUAAACACACACGUAUGCACAUAUAUUUACUAGAGUGACACAAGGUGUCAUGGGGCGAGCGUGUUAGCAGUACAGGUGGUUCACAUCUAUGUGUUGUGAAUACCUAUGCCUGUCUUGUUCCAAGCGUGCCUGUCUGGCCUCAGGAGUCUCUGUAGAAAAAAAACACUGGCCACUUGUCUUACCCGAGGCUCUGCUGGUUUGAGUUGAAGCAGUCUGUAGGCGAGUAUCUGUAUAUAUCACCUGUACGCCGCCUGUACUUACCUGAAGCUGUGCUGGUUUGGGCCAUUUGCUGCCUGGCCCGUCUCUUGGCAUCGGCAUCCAGUGCAAUCGUUACCUUGAAUCUCGAGUGCCCUGGCUAGCUAGCCUGACUUCUUUCUCUUCAGCUGUUUCUUGGGCUCUUGCUUGUCCCUUCGAAGUCUUUAUUCUUAUGCCUCCAGUUGUGCAAAAUACGGACCGCGUGUGUAAAAACCGCCGAUUAACGUACCAUACAUACAUAUAGCCUCCCCUAGAAUAGUGGGCCUGGUAUUUACUGUUGGCGCGUGGGUGGACAAUUAAUUUAUUAUUUACCGUAUUUUAUCUCAUUGAACGUUAUUGUGAUAAAGAACAGUCUGUAUAUACUGUAGACAGAGACAGCUAAGUAAAACAUCAGCUCAACUUGAGGCUCGGAUCGGAUACACACUCAGGCGACAAGUUAAUCUCAGUUAAACCUGUGGGUAAAAAAUAAAUGUGGAUAAGUACAGUGGCUAACAUAAUGUGAGGACUACACUAUCCAUUAAUACACACUCAAGCAACAAGUGCGGAUACACACUCAAGCAACAAGUCCCUCGGAUCGGAUACACACAAGUCCCUCGGAUUGUAAACACUCUCGGAUCAGAUACCACGUACUUACUCUGUGACCAAUUUUCGGCAAAUGUCACAAUACUUAGAGUAUGGCACUGAACGUCGAACAGAUAAACAGAUAAACAAGAGGAGACUUCUUUCAGAGAGAGGUGCACUGGUCCUGUCAAUGAGAAAGGGAGUGUCUGGAAAGCAGAUGGACGGACUUGCCAUAGCCGGUCAGUACGGUACCCACAUAAACACCAGCGUACAGACACCCUCCAGCUGCUUGUCUUUCAAGACUAGACCUGGUUUUCCAACACAGGAUAACGCGUACGCGAGAGCAAGGUAGAAGGUAGCAGCCAUUACACAAUUUUUCAAUGACAUCAUUAUAAAUGAAACGGAUAUCAGAUAUCAAUGUUUUACAAACUUAUGCGGAAUAAGAAAUAUACUGCAAUUUACUGCAAUUUACGAUUACCCAGAUUCUGGGGCCAGCGGCUUGGAAUCAUACAUACAGAGAAAUUGUCUACGAUAAGCUUAGUUUUAGAUGAGUGAUGGGGUGGAUUUGACAUGUAGCUGGUGAUGUGGACUUGGUGAUGUGGACUUGGGAAAUGUGAAGUUGCAGAAGUGCAAGAACUUGUAUCUUAACCAGGGGGGGAGUGAUGAUGUGGAUGAUGUAGCGGGUGAUGUGGACAUUAUUACAUCAUGUGGAAGUUGCAGAAGUUGUAUCUUAACCAGUGGCGUAGCCAGGGGGGUCAGUCUGAGUCAAAUAUACAAAUCACACAGAAAACUUACAGAUCUUGCUGCAGUUAGCUAGCAAGGAAAACGAUUUAGUCUUAAACUGUGAGAGAAGAGUCAACUGUAGUCUGGAAAUGCUACUUACAAUGCUGGAUGGGACAUUGCAAUCGAUGCAAAGUGAUGAGAGGCACACAAAAACUGUACAAGAUAGGGAUUGAUCUGCACUGUUUAAUCUGUAUAACUGGUUGCAAGUACAGCAGCUACUCACAUAUAUGCUGUAGUCCCGUAUAUGGAAGAUAGAAAGCGUAAACCAUACGCACUUCCAGUACAACUGAUUCCUUAUGUUGGAAUGGGACAAGAGAAAGAAAUGGGGUAUGCGUGGUACAUAAAUAUUACAUCAUGCAUCAUGCAUGCAUGCCGGUACAUGAAUUACACGUAAUUGUUAGGGUUACAACACAUUUAUACUCGUCCGGUAUCUGACAAGUAUAGGAUGAAUGAUUGGUAUUAUAAUUAUGUAAGCGUAAUAAUUAUUAUAAUAUAUUACUACAAUGGUACCACAAGAGGAGAGCUUCUUAAACUUCUGUCUUCCCUCAGCAUCUUUCUUCCUGUUCAAUUUGUACUUUCCUUUACACUUCUUCACUUCUUCCUUCACUUUUUCCUUCAUUUCUUUCAUAUUCGUCCAGUUUUCAAUUUUUCUCCUUAACAAUAUCCUCCAGGCUUCUCUGACUCUGUAAAAAAGCUCAGGAGCACUUGGAGCUGGACUUUCCAUGAUACCAGCUGUGUUGCAGUCAGCUGGUAGGUGUAGGUACGAGAUCAGAAAUGCUAACGGAUCUUCACAGAGCGGAACGGUUAUAAAAUCCGUACAAUGCGGUAGGGUAAAGCCUGAAAUCUGGUUGGUCCAUUGCAACUGAUUGACUCCUCAAUCUUGUGUAGAGUAUAAUGCGGUAGGGUACAAUCCUGCGGCAGUGACUCAUCGAUUUUGUGUAGAGUACAGUGGGGUUGGCUGAUUGGUCCAUUGCAAACUGAUUCUUGAAAGGCAUCCACGACUUUCAAGCUGCUCUCCGUUAGCAUUUCUCAUCUCGUACCUACCAGCUAUGAACAUCUCAAAUCUCAAACCUACCAGCUAUAUCCGUACCAGCAAUCUCAAACCUACCAGGAUGUCAGAACUACGUGUCAACACGCUGAGCCUGUCAAACAAGUUCCAAUAGAAGAAGAGGAAGAGGUGUGACACCCAUAGAAUCUUGAGGCUCAAGUCUCUCCAAUUGAAAAUAGAUUGGUUGGUAGAUGACAAUUACACUCGUUGGUUUUGAUAGUGUCAGUCAAGCUGUUUACGAAGAAGCUGGAAGUAAUCGUAAAGCGAUACACAAAAAUUGAUGUCUCGUCUCGUCUCGUACGUUUCAAGUUGCUUGUUGGUGCGAAGUCGAUAAGGAGUUUGAUCGAGUAAAUGUUCGUGUGAAGGUCAUAAAUAUAGACGGCUAACUAUAAUUGCUAUCAAAGGUUUUCAAAACUUCCAAGUUUGCAUGGAAACUUGACGUCAAUAGCGAUUACACGUCAAUGGCGAUUACAGAAAUUGUCAGAAGUGCAAAACAAUGCAGAAGGUAAGCAGAAGGUAAACAGAUGUGCAUACAGUGAAAUCUGGUCUGGACAUUACGACACUGGAUUGGUCAAUGAGCACAACCUUAUGAAAGUCAAGCCCUUUGAUGUUACGUACAAUAAUUAUGUACAAUAAGUAACUAUUAAUUUGUGAACAUUAUUUUAUUGCUUGCCUGAAUAACUAUGGAUACUACAGGAAUGUUUGUCAUUGCGUAUAGCUCAGCUGGUAUAUAAUUAUUAUUAUUGUUCAUUUAUUCGUUUCACCAUAGUUUCACCAUAGAUACAUAAUUAUGCCUCGGUGCGCAUGAAGUAUACGGUAUAGAAGUAUACGGUAUAGAUGUGUUUGUGUGUCUGUGUUUGUGUGUCUGUGUGUCUGUGUAGACUGCUACAGCUGCCCACUUGCAAAUUUAAUACAUGUAUAUACGUUACACAUAGAUGUUAAUUAUACUGUUAUACUGCAGAUCCAAGUUAAAUGUCUCGUUGAGUGGCUGCUGCUGACUAGUUAAGAGCGGCCAUCGAAGUGUUCCGGUCCUCACUCAAUGAGCAGACCGUCUUUCAACACAGUAAGUGAAGUAAUUAACAAGACAGACCUAGCUAUAUCAUUUGUUAGUAGAGAAUAUAAACAUAAUUAUAUUCUCUGUUCUUAAAACAGCUUUAUGCUUAUAUAUCAGUUAUAUCAGCACCUACAGUUCGUUCCCAAUACGUUCUCUACAACAUGCAGCAUCAAAACACCUACACUUUGUGUCACCCUAGUGUAGAUAAGGUAAGGCAACACGUAGGUAAGGUAGGUUACACUACUGGUAACACUGGUAAUGUAGGUAACACUAGGUAAGGUAGGUAACACUGGUAAUGUAGGUAACACUGGUAAUAUAGUGUAGGUAACACAGGUAAUGUAGGUAACGUAGGUAAUGUGGUACUGGUAAUGUAGGUAACACGGGUGAUGUAGGUAAUACUGGUAACGUAGGUAAUGUGGGUAAUGUAAUGGUGGUAAUGUAGGUAACACUGGUAAUGUAGUAGUAUGGUAAUGUAGUAAUGUAAUGUAGGUAACACUGGUAAUUAUGCCUCGGUGCGCAUGCGCAAGCGAGGUAUACAGUAGUGUGUUUGUGUGUGUGUGUAGACUGCUACAGCUGCUCAAGGAUGAAUCAAGUGCAAGUAAGUGCAAGUAAGAGUUUCUAUAGGCUUCUAGUCAUGUUUACUUGGAUUUUAAUUGGAUUUUAAUUCGUGGAUUUGCAAAAUAAUGCUUCAUUCUCGAGGCCUUUUCAGAAGAGCACGUAGUCAAACUAGUUCACCGACUCUACUUAGUAGCUAGCUCUACAUUACCACGAUAGCUAUUGAUAGCUGCAAGACUAGCAAAAGAGCUGCCAUUCUGAAACCAAGCCCCUUUCUUUUGGAAAAUUAAGGGGCGUGGUUCCCGUCUAUCUAAUUAUUUUUGCGCAUGCCCAAGUCAUCCUCCUCCUCCUCGUGUUUAAUACUGGCUAUUCUUAUUUUUGGUUUAUUCUUUCUGAGAGCAACAAUCUUCCUUGAUCCUUGGUAAGUGAUUGCUGAUAUUGCGAGAGGCUACAUAGAAAUUGUACAUAAUUUUUUGUUUACAGAUACUAUUAUGCCUUUGACAAAGGUGUGCUUUGACAAAGGUGUGCACGCAGUGUUCUUCAAUAGAACACUGCAAAAGAUUCGUUAUGAAGCAUUCACAGGUCAGCAGCAAAGCUAAGUUAAAAAAUAAAUUAUCUAUGUGUCUAUGUCUAAAACGAGAGCAGUUGAGACAGAGCCUGAGAGUAUUUUACGUAAAGCAAUGAAUAGAAAGUCCAUGUCUAAAGCAAGAACAGUUGAGUCAGAGCCUGAGAGUAUUUUACGUAAGGCAAUGAAUAGAAAGUCCAUGUCUAAAGCAAGAACAGUUGAGUCAGAGCCUGAGAGUAUUUUACGUAAAGCAAUGAAUAGAAAGUCCAUGUCUAAAGCAAGAACAGUUGAGUCAAGAACAGUUGAGUCAGAGCCUGAGAGUAUUUUACGUAAAGCAAUGAAUAGAAAGUCCAUGUCUAAAGCAAGAACAGAGCCUGAGAGUAUUUUACGUAAAUCUAAGGAUAAGCAGUUGAAGAGUAAAGCAAGAUCUGUGAGACAGAGCCUGAAAAGCAAUGAAUAGAAAGCCCAUGUCUAAAGCAAGAGUCAGACCCUGAGAGCAUUUUACGUAAAGCAAGAACUGUUGAGACAGAGCCUGAGAGUAUUUUACGUAAAUCUAAGGAUAAGCAGUUGAAGUUGAGUCAGAGGCUGAGAGUAUUUUACGUAAAGCAAUAGGUCUAUGUCUAAAGCAAGAGCUGUUGAAACAGAGCCUGAGAGUAUUUUACGUAAAGCAAUGAAUAGAAAGUCCAUGUCUAUAGCUAGAGCUCUUGAAACUGAGCCUGAGAGUACUUUACGUAAAUCUAAGGAUAAGCAGUUGAAGUCUAGAAAAAAGAGCUAGAGACCGUAGAGCUAAUAAGAAUAAAUGUUUAAUGGCUACUAUAAGAACGCGUACUAAACCAAUUGAUGUUGUUAUUGACGAGUUUAUGGCAAAGGUUAGAAUUGAACCCGAUUAUGUGUGUACUAGCUGCCACAGGAUGGCAUAGUUUUGUUCCAUUCAAGCCUUCCAAGUAUACUAAAGCUGAUUCUGAACUCAUUGACAGGCUGUCUCAGCAUGAAUGUGUAAGCAAUAUUGACAGGGAAAAAUAUGUUUGUAAAACCUGUGAUGGUAGAGGUGUACUACCUGUUCAAGCGAAAGCUAAUGGUAUGGAACUAGACAAUGAGCCUGACGAGUUAAAAUGUUUGAAUGCACUAGAGCAAAGAUUGAUGUCACUGCGUGUCCCGUUCAUGAAGAUGGUAGCAUUGCCAACUGGAAAGCAAAAGUGUAUUCAUGGACCAGCUGUUAAUGUACCCUCAAAAGUAGACCCAAGGUUGCCCUCUGAGUGUGAGCUAGUACCAUUGAAGUUAAAGCGCAAGUUAUCCUAUAACUAUGUCUCCCCAGAAAGAUUAAGUAGUGCUCUGAGAUGGCCCGUUAAAAGCAAAUAAUCCAUUGUAUGCAAAUAUCAAAAUUAUUGAUGAUUGGGUAGAGAAUGCAAUAGCAAAUGAUGAAGACCUAGUAAUGACCAUGUUAAAGCAAGGCGAGCCUAUGGAUGAUAGUGACACAAGUGACCCCCAGCGUAUGGAAGUCGAUGGUACACUAAAAUGCUAUCGCUCAGAAUAAAUAUUUGGAAAAGCACAGUAGUGUACUUACCAUUAACGAAAGUUGUACACACUGAAAUACCAAACGUGUCUUCAAUGAAUGUGCCCAAUGCCCGUAUUAGAAAAGCAGCUCAAUGCGCACAGCGAAUUUUUGAAAAUGACCAACGGGGAAAGGGAAUAUCUCCCUGAAUUGUAGAGCAUGGAAUUGAUUUGUGUCAGAUGAACCAUUCAGCAAGCGGGAUAUGAUAUCUAAAUUUGGCCAGCGAGUAAUAGUCUAGCUAUUGUCACGACAUACCCACCUGCAUCGCUCAACGUGCUUCAAUUAGAGUUAGCCUUGCUUAUUGUGAACCUUUUUAAUGACAUUCGUUCAUUAUUCAUUAUGUUCUAUCAUGUUCAUGCAGUUAAGAUCAAGAUCAUGUGAAGAGUAUUAGUAUUUUCAGUGGUUCGAGAGUACUCAGAGGUAACCAAUCGUACUGUACCAAUAGAGAUUAUUCAUGCAGGUUGCUAACAAGUUGCCAGGCAUUGGCUCAAGAAAUACAGGCUCAAGAAAUACACAACUGAAAUUGACUCUAAAGUUGAUACUACAUAAGUGUGUUUGACUAUUCUAUUUAGCUCUGCAUGCACUAGAAUCCUAGUAUUGUUGCUAUGAAUCGGCUGGUUUGGUACACUUGGAUUGGUCAGUGUAAGCUGAUACAGGUACUCCUAUAUAAUUAUAAUUAUACUAGCUAUAGCUGGCAGGGGUUUCUUUGUACUCGAUGCCAAAACACCAUUCGCCCCAAAAAAGCAACAGACACAUGAUACUGAGAAACAAAGAAGACAUGCAAGGAGUGCUCGAAAACAAACACAGAAGUUCGCGCACUUUCUCAGGAAGGAGCCAACUUGUGGUUUUGUUGUGCCUUGGCAAUCUAUUCUGCGAUGUAUGUAAGUGCAGUUUUGUUAUCCCACCCUCAGUACAUUGACCUUGUUGCUUGAAAACUAGACUGCAUUCUCCUUACGUCGUGGAGAAUAGGUGCAUUCUUUGCACUCUUCCUCUUCAUAUGCAAGCAGAAGAGGAAGUAGAUGUACAACGGCAGUAUGUUGACUUUGUGUAUUAUUGCAUUAUUGCACACAAUUAAUUGCCCCAAAUUGCCCCACAUUGUUAGACUCUGACAAAGAUAUUGUUGAACUUCUCAGUUAUAACCUUUGCACAAAUCAGGCUAUUUAUAUACAGCACACAUAAAAUAUUCUAGAUCAAAUAAAUAAAGACCAUUAGUUCUGUGUAAAUAGAAUGAUAAUUAUUAUAGUAAGACCACAGUGUCGUUGUCAACAGAUCUUCCUGCAAAUUGCUUCUAAUAGUUUCAUACGAGCAUGAUCUUCGCUCCCACUGUCUGUAACUAGCGAGUGCAAUUCUGCUUCCUUUCUUACACUAUCAGAACACUUAGCAUCUUUCACAUAGUAACUGCACGGUUGCGUCACGAUAUCUCAAGCAACGAGUUGUAGCCCGAGUCAGCAGCAACUUUCCAUUCAUCUGCCAGAUGAUCAACUAUUACUACAUCCACAUAUUCAUCAACACCGAACCGCACAGGUCGCGUCUUUGCUUGUGAACACCGCUGCUGUUGUUGUUCCUGAGUGCUAAUCUGUUUGUCAGUCUGUCCAAGUCAACUGUUACUUGCUCGGGCAUAGCAAAAUUCAGUUCAUUGAAAACAUCCAUCGAAUAGUCUGUUCCCGAUACUGUCGUACUUUCUUGUCCAUGUCAUGCACCUUGAAAUGGCAGGUUUCCUUGGUUCUGAUCUGUUUCGAAUAGAGAGUCCCAAUGGUCAUUCGUUUGCCUCGAACUCCAUAAAUUUUUCAAAGACUUCAGAUUUGUUUUUUAAGAAGUGGACAGUCUAUAAAAUAACGUUUUCCACCGAUUGAUUCGUCCACAUCACUGUGUACUAGCUGGAGCUUUCGACUCGAAUGGUGACUCUCUCCUACUGAUUCAAACGACAUUUUACCCUUCGCCUUCACAGAAAGACAAUCUGAGUUCACUUGGUAGUUUCACACUUGGUAGUAAAGUUUUUAGAGACAACCUUUCAACACCUCCAUACAAUUGCACAUAUGCUUGCUUACCAGAGACCACUAGUACUCUUUGUGCCAACUAAUCUGGAAGCAUUGUGCAACAAGUAUUGGAUUAUAUCGAUCAAAUAACGACACACAAUAAUCUAGCUUUUACAAAAGAAGGAUAAAGCACAUGGUACAUGGUGACCCAUGAAUACAUGAUUACAUAACAUCAGAUAAGAUUACAUAACAUAAUAAUCUCUACCAUAGAGUCUGUUCGCAUUUUCCUGCCCCCUUAGUUUCUCAAGGGUGUCUCUCGGUAAUCCGCAUAUCUGCUAUCAUUUCGGUAGUCUGGCAAUACUCGAGCGUAAUAGUUCGUUUGUUUACAUUGUCUCAAACAAAAUACACCUUAAUGUCAAUGUGUUUAGCUCUGCCAUGAUAUUGUGGAUUCUUAGCCAUUGACAUAGCUGCUUGGUUGUCCUCACGGAGGCUUCUCUGGUUUUCUUUUGAGCUCUGUUAUCAGUUGGUUCAACCAGAGUGCUCCUUGGGUUGCGAUUCGGCCUCGGCUGUUGACAGAGCCACAGUCGGCUGUUUUUCGAUUCUCCAGCUAAUUACUGCUUAAACAAGUAGCCUGAUGUCGACUCCAGCAUAAUCAGAAUCUGAGUAUCCAAUGCACGCUUCACUUUUAGAUCUGCUGUACAAACAAUCCUGUCUUCUUGAGAUAUCCGUUUUACAGCAGUCCAAUGCGGAUUCGAAUAAUACUUGUUAACAGCUGUUGACGCAGGCUGCUGAUUGAUAGAUCGUUUGAUCAACACACUCAUCUUCAUCAGUUGCCUUUGAGCUUGUAUCAAUAGGUGGCUUUGAGUCCUGCAUUCCAAAUCUCGAUAGUACACGAUCGAUAUAGGCUUCUUGACCAAUCACAUGCCAAGGAAUGAGUGUAGUGGUCCCAUAUUUUUAACAUCGAAUUUUUCUCCAAGGGACUCAAUUACUUUCGAAAUUCGAUCCACACUCUUCCCACAAAGAAUUAUGUCGUCUACAUACACUCCUAGUUCUUCAUCAGUAGAAAUGUAGAUACAAGUUGAGCUGUGCAAAACCUUGGACUCAGUUUACAAACAAGACGUUCUUUACCCAAGACAUUCUUUACCAGUCUUUUCAAAGCUUUCGGGCUGUUUCAUAUAAACCUACUGUCCAUUUAGGAAAGAUAUCGACCUGAUGUCAUGUUGAGCACUUAGUGACUCCAUUCUAACGACAGGACAAAAGGUCUCUUCAUAGUCUGCUCCUUGCUGUUGGGUAAAUCCUUGGCGACUAAACGGGCUUUAUACCGCUCGACCUUUCCGUCUGCAUCAGUCUUGAUUUUAAAAACUCAUUUGCUAGUUUUCUGUGUUCUGGAAGUGGUACUAGUUCCCAGACAUCAUUGUCCAUUACCAUUGCUCUCCCACUUCAACUUUUGUUUACUGGUGAGAACUUGCUUGACUGUCUACUUGCUCAAUAGCAUGUCGCCCGCUCUCCAUAAUAGUCCGGUCUUUGCCUCGUUCUUCCUGAUCUUUGUUCUGUGACUGUUUCUUCUCUAGAGUCUUCUUCUUCUUCACUAGUUUCAGGUAAGUCUAUCACAACAUAUCGAAUUAGGGUGAACUCUUUAUCAAGAUCUGUCUCAUUGAAUUUACAGUCAUAUUGCAUCGUCAUACAAUCUGUAUCCUUUGACAUUCGUUCCGUAUCCCAUCAGAAUACAUUUCUUGCCAGAGUUUCUUCCGCUCAUCUUUCGGCACAUGUGCGUAGACAACACAUCCAAAUGUUUUGAGGAGGUGACUGACAUUUGGUUUCAAUCCAGUAAGAGCUUCGUACGGGGUCAUACCCUAAACUGCGGGCUCAUGUUCCUGAGAUUGGCUGCUGUUGACAAUGCCAGGCAGUUUGCUCGUGGCUAACAUAGUUCGAUAAGUGUUUGGUUUAAGCGUUACCGUUUUGUUGUUGCAGGGUUGUUCGUUCGUUCAUGCUUUAUAGAUUGCAGGUAUUCUUGAAAUUGGUUAGAGGUGUACUUGUCAGAUCUUAUUGUCAGAUCUUAUUGCUUUGAGUUUGUGACCAGUGCCUUUCUCCACCAUUGUUUUCCAUAAACCUCGUCCUUGGUUUUUAAAAAAUAAACCUAUAUGAAUCUCGUCUUAUCAUCGAUAAAGGUCAAAAGAUAUUCUGCACCUCCAAUCGUGUUGUGUUUCAUUGCUAGAUCCUCGGAUGCUACCACAUGAGCAACAACAAAGAACUGUUUGUGGAAUAUCGAGAACUUAGUACGCCUGAAAAAGUCACGAUGGAAGGUGUCUUGACGUUGUGGGUAAAGGCACAGUUGAACUGAAAAUGGUGCUACCUGACAACAAGAAAACCAAGCGUCACAAACUGAUGAACACAUUGUAUGUCUCUAUCGAUUUGUUUAGUAUUGCAAAGGUGGCGUGAGCAAGGAUGCUACAUCAACUGCCAAGCGAGUUAGAAGUAUUUGGAGUAUUUGGAGUGUGGAGACAUCCCUGAACAGACAUCCGGCCUGUGACUAGAGCUUCACCGUCACUAUCAGAGUUCUCCCUCUGUUUUCCGACCAAAUCGUAACAGUCUCGCUUAUAAUGUCCAUACUAUAAUGUCCAUACUUUCCGCAUUGAACAUACUUUCCGCAUUGAUGACAUUUAUCUUUCUUUUUAAAAGUUUUUACAGCUUGACAGUAUGUCUCUUCUCGUUGUCUCUUCUCGUUUAACUCACAUCUACAUUGCUAACAAAUAGACAAUUGCAUCAAAGUCAUUUGUGGAGAACAACUUUCGACGAAGUUUGAGUUUGAUGUUUUUCUGUCAAACAGUGGAACCGUCCUCGACUCAGCCAUACUCGAUUCCUUGGCUUGAUACUACUUGUCACGUCACUCGUCUUCUAUCAAACAAGAGCUCUAUACGUUUUGUGCUCUUCUGUGUUUCGUGGUUUUGUUAGCUACAUAUUUUCGUUUCACUCGUGCGCAUCUUGUUGUUUAUGUGAGGCUGUGUGCAGACACACAUAGUUCCGGCUACAUAAAUGAGUCAAUGUUUAGCAGGAUAUUAAAGGGACGUUGGUGGGGCUAAAGCGACUAUCUUCGUGAGGCUAUUGCAUGUUGGCUAUUGCGCAUGCUUAGACUGAAUUUUGUGACCGGACCGGGGCGCCACUGGAACGCAUGUGUCAGCGUAGCAGAGAUACUGAACUGAUAAACUCUUGAACUCUGACUCUUAUCGUAUGUCAUGUGAGACAUGGUUCACAUGACAUACGAUAACAGUGGAGGUCCUGCCGAGACAAACCUGUUGCAGAGUAUUAGAUGCUAUAGAUAGCAGAGUAAGAUCUAUUAACACAAUUUGCAGAGCAAAAUACAAAAAGAAUAAAUAGUGAGACUUUAUAGUACAAAACAGAAAAGCUAAAAAUAACUUUCUAUUCUUGACAAGUGUACAUCAUAACACCUAUGUAAUGCAUUCUAAACACUCUAACAUGUUCUAUCAAGUUCCAACACUCCUUCUCACUUGCUCAAGAAUGAGACAGGUAGAGAAACAAUUCCAGCCAUCUUCCUCAACAAUUCGAAAGUACCACAUGACAGUCCAUAUCAGCCACCAUCUGACUACUCGGACAAUACUUAAGUUCAAUAGUUCCAGCACUGACUUGCUCACGAAUGAAAUGAUGUCGUAUAUCUAUGUGCUUUGCUCUUCCAUGAAAUUGAGCAUUCUUUGACAUUGAAAUGGCUGACUGAUUAUCCUCAUAGAUAACUGUAGCUUCAGUCGGUUCACUUCUCAGUUCUGAGAUAAGUUGUCUUAGCCACAUUGCUUCUUGAGUAGCACUUGAGAGAGCAAUGUAUUCAGCUUCAGCUGUAGACAGUGCUACUGAUGUCUGCUUCUUGCUCCUCCAACUAAUAGGGACUAAUAGGGGCACCACACACAUAUCCGGACGUAGACUUUCGGUCGUCUAAGUCACCAGCCCAAUCUGAAUCGGAGUAACCAAUGAAUUCGUCCACAUUACCAUUCGUAUACAACAAGCCAAAAUUGCGUGUACCCUUCAGAUACCUCAGAAUUCUUUUAACAGCUGUCCAGUGCUGUUUCGUGGGAUUUGAAGAGAAUUUCGCCACAUUGCUUACCGCAAAAGCAAUAUCAGGUCUUGUACCCGUAGACAAGUACAACAAACUUCCAACUGCCGAUUUGUAAACACUUGGAUCAAAACAACACUUGGAUCAAAACAAACAUCACUCUCAACAGACUUAACAAGUUUAGAACUAGCAUCAACCGGAGUGCUAACACACUUUGCAUCCUGCAUGCCAUACUUCUCAAUUACCUUGUCAAUGUACGCAGGUUGACCAAUCCAAACGUCUUCAUCCUGAGCAAUUUUCAUACCAAGGAAAUGAUGUAAUUCACCAAGAUCCUUUACAUCAAACUUCUUGCAAAGAGCUUGUUUGAUCUGUGUGUCACUUUUGCAAGUAUAUAUCAUCAACAUAAACACCAAUAACAGCCACCUCAUCAACAGCCGCUAUGUAAAUGCACGGAUCACUGUAGAAAUCCCAACUCUUUCAGAUAUUCAUCUAAGGUAGCAUUCCAGCACCUUGGAGAUUGUUUUAGUCCAUACAGGCUCCGCUUUAGCUUACAGACCAGAUGUUCUUCACCUUCAGCUAUAAAACCUUCAGGCUGUCGCAUGUAUAGAUUUCCUCUUGUAAUUUUCCAUUGAGGAACGCUGUGGUAACAUCUAAUUGGUGCAGCUUCAAACCGUUUCGUACUGCCAGACUAACAACAGUUCUCAAUGAUUCUAUUCGAACUACUGGAGAGAAAGUUUCAUCGUAAUUGGCUCCUUUAGUCUGCGUAUAACCUUGAGCAACCAACCUAGCUUUAAAGCGUUCAACUCGACCAUCACCGUCAACCUUCACCUUAUAAACCCACUUGCUACCAACAGGUUUCCUGUGUUCAGGUAGUUCAACAAGUUCCCAAACGUCAUUAUUUUGGAGAGACUUCAUUUCAGCCUCCAUAGCUCGUUCCCAUUUGGUUUUGUGGAAACUUGUAGCAACGUCUUCAUAUCAUAUGACUUGGAUUUAUCAAGUUCAACAGAUACUCCUUCUGCAUGAGACCUUCGAGGUUCUGUCUCAGUGACCACUUGAUCAGGUAUGGUCUCUUCAGCACUAAUUUCUUCCAGAGUAUCAACAUCACGACAUUCUUUCAGUCCUUCCUUCUUUUCAGCAGCAUUUGCCUGCUCGUUAAACUGACAAUCCAGGAAAUACAGACUACCACAUCUUGUAGCUGUGGCUAUCACCGCGUUCUUAGAGUUCAUGAUCUGACAACCAGAUUCAUCAAACUUCGUCAUGUUUCCACUUUUAGAUGCCUUUGACACACUAAUCAAAUUGUAGCUGAGAUCUGGAACAUGCAAUGCAUUCUUCACUGGACAUCGUUUCAACCGACAACUUCACUUCAAAAUCAAAGAAACUGUUCCACGACCAACUGCCUUCAAACUUCUACCGUCUCCAAGGCUGACCUUUUCGUUCAAGCAUCGAUAGUCCGUGAACAAGUGUCUUGAGGUACACAUAUGGCUGGUUGCCCCAGAAUCAAUAAUCUAGUCAGCUGAUGUUCUUGCAGCAAAUGCAUGACCAACACUGUCUUCAACUAUUUCUGUGACUUUGUUAGUUUCAUGCUUGUCAUCCUUAGCCUUCAACUGCCAACAGUCUCGUUUAAAGUGUCCCAUUUUUCCACAGUAAUGACAUGGACCUUUCUCCUGGACUUCUUCCAUUUGGCUGGCAUCGCUUUCUCAUCCUCAGCACUGCUUCCACCUCGCACUUUCAGCUUUACUUCGUAGUGCAACAACUUCUCAGUUACAAUUUCCAUCUUUGGAACAUCCUCCAGAGCUGUAACCAAACCACUAAACGAUUCCGGUAAACUCGCUAACAGAUACACAACACGAUCAUCUUCUGUUAAUGGAACAUCCAUUUCCGACAAAGCAUUGAACAAUUCCGUCAUUUCUCGAUUAUGUUCCUGUACCGCGUGUCCUUCCUUUAGCCUCAAGGAGUGUAAUUUCCAACGGAGCUCAAGCCAGGACUUUUUCAUGAACUGGUCACUUAGCCUGGUCACUUAGCUUCUUCCAGACUGUAGCUGGGUCACUUGGCUCGCCAAUCAAAUAGAGCAAACUCGUAUCUAUCGACAACACAACAAUCGCUAAAGCCCGAUCACGUCGUCUCACGUCGUCCAACAUACUUGGCAAAACCAGCGUCCCCUUCUCCUGGUACAAUCUCCGUGCCUUCUACAAUUCUCCAGACUCCUUUCAUUAGAGUCACUGAGUCUUCCAUGUUGCGUAGUUAGUUCCUGACAAUGGGACAAACGCUGUCGUACCCCUAAACUCGGCCAUUUCUUCUACCGACUCGUACUCAACUAGCAAACUCCCAAACUAUUAGACCGCUCGUUACAACAGUCCAAUCAACUCAACUACCAACAGCUGCACUCACUCCACUAAAUAACUAGGCAACUAUGACACUGGGAGAUGCUAGAGAUAGCAGAGUAAGAUCUAUUAACACAAUUUGCAGAGCAGAAUACAAAAAGAAUAAAUAGUGAGACUUUAUAGUAAAAAACAGAAAAGCUAAAAAUAACUUUCUAUUCUUGACAAGUGUACAUCAUAACACCUACACUGUCUUGUUCUAUACACUGUCUUGUUCUAUCAUGUUCUAUCAAGUUCCAACACGUUCUAUCAAGUUCCAACUGUCUGAGACAACCGAGGAAGGCCCUGGGUCAGGCGUUGAGAACCUCAAGUGAAGGCUAGCAUCCAAGUGCAGCCCAGUCGAACCCAACUCAAGCCCAACUUAGAGGCUGUAAGCGAUAAGCGAACUUAGCUAUGGGGUCAGUUAGCAACCUCCACUGACUCCACUGACCAUAGACGAUCGACUGGAGUGAGGAGGACCGGCUCACAUUUUGCAGCCUUUCUUGAGCCGUGAGCCACGUGGUACAUGACAAUACACCCCCAGUUACUUCAAUACGAUCCAGUACUAACUAACAAAAAAUACUUCAUGUCUAGUGCUUACAUAUUGCUUACAUAUUACAGUUGCUUACAUAUUACAGUUUUACAGUUUGUCGAAAUCUCUUAUAGAUCUGGCUGGACUCGCAAGUACGUCUUGAUAAUAGUGCAACUAGCGCCACGGAGUCCACUAGACACUAUACCAGCGGAUACCGUUCAUUCAUUCAGAGAUGCCAACGGAUAACCCGUUUAUUCAUUCAGAAGAUGACAGUAUAUACCAACGUUCUAUUCUGAGUCUAUACCAAUCCGUUCUAAUGACGGGUUGCCGGGUUGCCGUCUUGCUGGAUUGUGGUUGUGAUAAAUAUUAUUGUGUCAAAGCUUAUGUUACAGUAGCGUACAUAAUCAAGGUAACAUUGUACACAAACUGUUCAUUUGGGACCUGGGUGCCUGGCCGUUAUUCGGUGGUGGUGGUGGUGUAUUUAUUACAGUAGACUCUAGCUAUUCCGGCUCUCUAAAGUACGUCCACCUCCUAUACGGCUUGAUGAAAUGUGGCCACUCACUAUUCCGAACUAGGCUUUUUAUUACAGCCGGAAAUGAUGUUUUGGGUGUGGUUGGAUCAUUCAUUUGAAACAGAACGAUUAGUGAGGUCGUUCUUUUAGCCUGAGUAUACCCUCGCUAUUUACCCUCGCUAUUUCAAGCUGCACUGUCCCAAGGGUGGCUGAAUUAACGAAAUAACCAGUAUCAUUCACAAGAACGGCUUACAAUUAUAAUAACUACAAUUAUAAUAACUAUGCAUGUGACACCCUUUGAUUAGUUGGAGUUUGAAGCCAAGCAUAUCUAAAUUUCUCUGGCACUGUCCUGUAACUAGAAAGCACAGUUUGCAUUACUACAGGCGGCUUUGAAUGACAGAAAAUCACCUACCGGGCCACUGUGACUCUAACACAGCUGCUUCUGGAUUUACAGAUUCAAUUGUUGUGGAAAUGUAUCAUGAACAUUACAUGGCCACAAUCACUUCAGUUGUUUGUAUGGUUGGUCAGUUGGAUGGUUAGCUAGUUAUAUUCCAAAUUUCAAGUCAACAGCACCGAUUUUAUAACGCUUAGUGUGUCAAAACCACAAAAUGUUAGUCAACAUCGUGUUGAUAGAUGACUGUGUAGCUUGAAAGCAUACAUACUAUAGAAUGUAAACAGCGUGCAUAAAUAGUAGGUGCGAAGUCAUUGCAAGUUCACAAGCUCAAAACCACAAGCCUGUUUUUAAUACUGCCUUGGCCGUUCGUCUGCUUCUGAGCAAAAAUAAAAUUUGACUCAGAUCUAAGGUCAGUGGUUCCAGCCUCCUCUGGUGUUUCUCUGUAAAAAAGAAUUAGUAAAACUAGUAGGUUUUACAUAGGAUUGGCAGUGGGUUUGCCCAUGUUUAGCAAUAUUUCAAUUAUUUUGACUCAUGUUCAAACUGUUUUAUCUCUGCAGCUCUGCAGGGAAAGGCCACAUCAAGGAACUGGAGCCUUUUCUCUCUUUGUAUCACCGACUAGAAAAACAUUUGCAAUGUGAAAAAUUGCUAGGAUUGGAAAAUUGCUAGGAUUGGCCCAAGGGAAACCUUUUAAAAGCGUGGAAACAAGAAGUGCAUAACUCCAAUUCGUUUCACAUGCACUAAUUCCCGAAAUGUAUUAGGUCUAUUAUGUUAUUUUGUUUACUUUAUGUUGUAUUAUUUGCUAGUAUGUAUAUAGGGUAAGUUGAAUGAUUGGAUAAGUUGAAUGAUUGGAAUGUUUACAUAGUAUUACAUUAUAUACUAUGUGAUACAAGGUAUGUGUUUUAGUUUUGUGAUAUGCCCUUUACAGUUUUGAGCAAAGACAGUGCAAAGUAAAGAACCAAAGAUCUAGAGGAAAUACAGCCCCAAAUAGAAAGAGCAAAAGACAGUCCAGACCAUUCAUUGAUGCAGUACUGAUUGAUGCAUGAAGUGAUUUCAUGACAGAACAAUAGCCUCAGGGCUACUAGCUACUGGGCUAUACUAAGACAGUGCCAAGUAUAAAGAGCCAAAGAUCUAGAAGAAAGACAGUCCCAAUAGAAAGAGCAAAGACAGUCCAGACGCAUGAUAAUGAUUUGAUAACAGACAAUAGCUACUAGCUACUGGGCUAUACUUUUCAACAAAGAGCUAAAAGGGACACACUGUGACAGUGCAUGUGUAUACUGUCAGUGUAUAGACAAUCAUUUACCCUAUACAAUUAACAAACUAUAUGUGAUAGCCAAAGACUGUUCAAUUUGCCACAACCAGAAAUUAAUGAUCUUAUAAUUGAAAGAUUGUUAAUCUGUCACUGCACCAUUGUGAUGCUAUUUUUAUUAUGAUACAAGUUAUCAGCACUAGCUGUACAUGUUCAUGACGUUGUAACGGAUUGGAGUUAUGCACUUUUUCUUGUUUCCACGCUUUUUAAAGGUUUCCCUUGGGCCAAUCCUAGCAAUUUUUCACAUUGCAAAUGUUUUUCUAGUCGGAUUCCCUUUCUUUUUUAUUACAGUAGUAUUUAAAUUUAAUAGUGUUAUAAGUGACAAAGUGUGACGCAAGCUAGUGAAAGAGUAACGUCCAUGGAGUUUGACCCAUCGUCUGUACUAUAGGAAUAUAGGAAUAUUUGUAGUAUAGCCAUCUUGAUAGAGUAAUUCGAAGGUGAGUAGUCAUUUAAUAUUUAUGUAGACCACCUGUAUACAUGUGCACAUACACAUGUGCGUACGCGUAUGUGAACAUGGGAAAAGGUAAGAUGCGUUGACAACCUUUGAAGUUUGUAUAUGAAUGGGGAAAAUUCUAUAUAAAGCAGUUCCCAAUGCUGUUUUCAUCCAAACAAAGCUUAAUAUGUAUAUGGUAAGUGAUUUUUUUGUGGUUGCUUUGCUUACCAGUUUGUAUAACUGUGAUACAGAAUGGCUACAGAAUGGCAACUCCUGAUCCGCCUGAACAAACACCUCAGCGUCCAGCACGGACCACUGUUCCAGUCAAGGCCUGUCUCUAGCUCUCCUCCCAUCUAGCUCUCCUCCCAGUGAUCCUGCAGUGCAAGAUUCAUACGAAUCUAGUUCUUUAGAAGACUACGUGCCUCCUGCUCCUACUCCACAGAGAGGUAGAGGCAGGGGCCGUGGUGGGGAUAUUCAAUGCACCAGUGACCAUAAAGUAGUACUCUUGAUCGAUUGAACUCUUGAAUGUAUUAUUAACAAUUCUAUGUAAAACCUACUGAUAAAAUAAAUUUUUUGCCUGCAAGUGGG